rnacentral:misc_RNA from 1 species
AGUGGACCAUUACUGUUCCCAAAACGCUGCUGUAAUUCUUCCCAAAGUUCUUUUGCACAGGUUGUAUACAAAAGGGCCUCAACAAUUUCUUUAGAAAUCAAAUUCAAAAUCCAAGAGACUACCAUACCAUCCACCCUUUGCCAUUUUUUAUAAUUGGGUGAAUCAAUGGAAGGCAUUUGACACUUUCCAUUAAUGAAACCCAGCUUAUCCUUUGCUCUAAGAGCCAUGAUCAUUGAACGAUUUCAAGAAAGAUAGUUUUCACCAGUUAAUUAUGCACUUAGCAGACUCAGAUUUGGAUGAUCUGAACUCUGUAGAUGCAAAGGAUCGUUGCUCAGAUCUGCAACUUUCGUAUCAGAACUUUCUGCCAUAGAAACAGUAAUCGGAGUUCACAGCCUGAAGCUCUGAUACCAUGAAAACAAGCUCAAAAAUGAGUAAGAAAAUAAAGACUAAAACAGAGAAAAUGAAAAGGAGAAUGAGAAAAAUGAUUCUCGUAUAUAUUCUGCAGUAGAGAUUGAUACAAUUUAUAUACAAAUACAAGAAUAACCGCCUCAGGAUGCCUGUACAUUCUACUAGCUACUUGUACAUUCUAGAAUACUGCUAUACUAACAAAAUUCUAACAA